UCCUUAGAUGUUCUGGGCUGCACGCGCGCUACAAUGUCGGAAUCAGCAAGUUCCUGCGCCGAAAGGCAUGGGUAAUCACGAGUUUCCGACGUGAUGGGGCUAGACCCUUGCAAUUCUUGGUCUCCAACGAGGAAUUCCUAGUAGACGUAGUUCAUCAGACUGCAUCUAUUACGUCCCUGCCCUUUGUACACACCGCCCGUCGCUCCUACCGAUUGAAUGCUCAGGUGAGCCAUUCGGACUUUCAUCAUGCUGGUUUCCAGUUUUGAUGAAGGAAAGUCUUGCGAACCUUAUCAUUUAGAGGAAGGAGAAGUCGUAACA
rnacentral:rRNA from 1 species